UUGGCUCAAGGGACGUAGCUAUGAGAACGAUUUCCACUCAAGUCAUCCUCCACGGAAACCACAAAGCCUAGCUAACCUUUUCUCCAUGGAAGCAGAAAAAAAAAGCACGCUUGUGUGAGCGUGUAGGGGGAGGAGAGGGCAUGUGGACAGAGAGGGAGGGGCGGUGUAAUAACUCUUGUAGUCGUAAGACUUGCCAGUUGGUAGUUACUAGUAUUCCAGACACUUCCUAAUGCCAGACAAAUGCCCCAAGCCCGGGCAUGUCUGGCUCAGAGAUCUGUUCAGCUGAUAGCAGCCGUUUCUUGUGGGGAGAACAGACCUUUCAGGGAGCAGGGCUCUGAGGCUGAUCAAACACAACAUUGUUCUCAGAAGGGAGAAUGGAAAGGUUUGUUUCAGUCACUUUUUUUUUUUUUUUUUUAAGGCUCUCAAGUUGUUUUAACAAGUUGCUACAAAACGUGGGCUUCCUGAGGUGAGCCUGUUGCUCACAGUGCCUGUACUGUACCAAAAUCCAGAGAGGGAGGGAUCAGAAAGUUAGUCAUUAAAAAAAAAAAAAAAAAAAAAAGGGAAAAAAGAGCCCCAGGCACAAGGCGUAGCCACUCCUCUGUUGCAACCACAAUCAAACAAGGCUCAGGCAGUCCUCGCAGCUGCUCUCCGAAUGUCAGCGCCUGCCGUCAACACAGCUUGAAAGCCACCCGGCUGGAGGACUUUGUGCUGUACCUUUCUCGCCCACAUUUUCCCCAAGCACUCUCGGGAACCUGGCAACAGGCACUGAGCAGAUGGCUAUAUGAGGGGUCCCUGAUGCUAACUGCCCACUCCAGCGCCCUUCUCCUCAGUUCCUUUCACUUUUCAUUAUUCUGUGACUUAUUCUGUGCUCUUUCUGCUUGCACAAGAUGAGCAUCUGAGAGCCAGGGAACUUUCUUUGCCUUUGGUCUUUUUUCUUGAGAAUUUCUACUACCUGCACAAUGGGACCUGGAGCCUGGGAUACAAGAAAAAACCUGGAGUGGAAUCAUAUAGAUGAACAGGACUCUCCUGCCAUGUACAAUAGCUGUGUGUCUACCUCCAUGUCACCCAGACAGCUGCUGCCACAUCCCAUCGCUCCAGCAGCGGAAGUAAGGCGCAUUUUGGACCUUUCUGGGUGAGUGACAGCAUUUGCGAUGAGCUGAGUAAAAUGCCAGCACUGAGGGAAAACCAGACUUCCCCCAGGCGCCUCUGCUCCACCUUUCUCGUGACAUAGAGAACGAGCCUGACCGACGUUAGGCCCUGCCUUCUGGUCUGACAGCCCCUUUGGGAGACAGUGGGUGCUGGUGACGUGGUGUGAACUGUCCCUUUGCGAGGGUGGCUGUGAGACACCCUGCCCCUGAGUGAGCCUGCAUGCAACUGGCCGCUUUGUCCUUGGCUGUGCCACCGAGCAUGCCAGCGCCCUGUGCACAUCCAGGGGGAUCUGUUCCAGGGGCGGAGGAGGUAUUAUUCCAGGUCACCCAUGGGUGCUGCAGGGAUUUUCCUCAGCCACCACAUGACGACUGAAUGAAAGCAUUCCAGGAAACCAGAAGGGCUGCUUGGGCCUCUGGAAUGUCAGCGGAAACUGCUUGGCAAGGCUGCCGGCCCUUUUCUGCUGUGUCAUUUUCUCUGAGCUGUGCUCCCUUUGUGGCCACAGGCUCACUUCCCGCCAAGUCCCACAGACUUUAACCUUUACCUUCCUUACAAGGCAGCGCCUAUUUUUUCCUCUCCCCAGAAACUUUAAUUUUUUAAGAUUUAAGAUGUCCCCAAAGGUCAUGCUAAAGACUAUUUGCAAGAACAGGGGAAACUCACAGAUGAAGAAUACCCACUCCCUUUUAUAAUAAUUCAAAUGUAUUCUGUUUAACUAACAGGAGGGACAGGAUGUAUCGCAUCUGGUUUAGGCCAUAUGCACCCAAGGGUACCAGUUAUGGACUCAAUGUUUGUGUCCCCACAAAAUCCAUAUGGUAAAGCCCCAACUCCCAGUGUGAUGGUGUUUGAAGAUGGAGCCUUUGGGAGGGGAGUAGGUUCAGAUGAGGUCAUGAGGGUGGUGGCCCAUGAUGGGAUUAGUGGCCUUAUGAGAAGAGACACCAGAUCU